AACGAACGCUGGCGGCAUGCCUAACACAUGCAAGUCGAACGAAAAGGCCGGGUUUAGUGGCGCACGGGUGCGUAACGCGGGGGAACCUGCCCGUAGGUUACGUAUAACUCCCCGAAAGGGGUGCUAAUAAAGCAUAAUGUCUUCGGACCAAAGGUUUAUGGCCCUUGGAUGGGCCCGCGUUGGUUUAGCUAGUUGGUAGGGUAAAAGCCUACCAAGGCGAGGAUCCAUAGCUGGUCUGGGAGGAUGAUAAGCCACACUGGGACUGCGGCACGGCCCAGAGUCCGACGGGAGGCAGCAGUGGGGAAUAUUGGAGAAUGGGCGAAGGCCUGAUCAAGCAAUGCGGCGUGAGUGAGGAAGGCCUUAGGGUUGUAAAGCUCUUUUAGCCGGGAUGAUAGUGACGGUACCGGGAGAAUAAGCUCCGGCUAACUACGUG
rnacentral:rRNA from 1 species